rnacentral:rRNA from 1 species
AGUGAACGCUGGCGGUAGGCCUAACACAUGCAAGUCGAACGGCAGCACAGUAAGAGCUUGCUCUUACGGGUGGCGAGUGGCGGACGGGUGAGGAAUACAUCGGCAUCUACUUUUUCGUGGGGGAUAACGUAGGGAAACUUACGCUAAUACCGCAUACGACCUACGGGUGAAAGCAGUGGAUCUUCGGACCUUGCGCGAUUGAAUGAGCCGAUUUCGGAUUAGCUAGUUGGCGUGGUAAAGGCCCACCAAGGCGACGAUCCGUAGCUGGUCUGAGAGGAUGAUCAGCCACACUGGAACUGAGACACGGUCCAGACUCCUACGGGAGGCAGCAGUGGGGAAUAUUGGACAAUGGGCGCAAGCCUGAUCCAGCCAUACCGCGUGGGUGAAGAAGGCCUUCGGGUUGUAAAGCCCUUUUGUUGGGAAAGAAAAGCAGCAGGUUAAUACCCCGCUGUUCUGACGGUACCCAAAGAAUAAGCACCGGCUAACUUCGUG